rfam:Medicago truncatula strain A17 chromosome 7, whole genome shotgun sequence.
GUGGGUACAAGGAAUCUACUUUAUUCAGCACACAAACCUAAUUUCCGAGACAUGUUACAUACCUGAAACAUGUCUUAGAAAUUUGGAUUUUUCUUGGUUUGUGUGCUGAACAAAGUAGAUUCCUUGUACCCA